rnacentral:rRNA from 2 species
AAAUUGAAGAGUUUGAUCAUGGCUCAGAUUGAACGCUGGCGGCAGGCCUAACACAUGCAAGUCGAACGGUAACAGGAAGCAGCUUGCUGCUUUGCUGACGAGUGGCGGACGGGUGAGUAAUGUCUGGGAAACUGCCUGAUGGAGGGGGAUAACUACUGGAAACGGUGGCUAAUACCGCAUAACGUCGCAAGACCAAAGAGGGGGACCUUCGGGCCUCUUGCCAUCAGAUGUGCCCAGAUGGGAUUAGCUUGUUGGUGAGGUAACGGCUCACCAAGGCGACGAUCCCUAGCUGGUCUGAGAGGAUGACCAGCCACACUGGAACUGAGACACGGUCC